CUUUCUGGAUGAGCAUUUUCUGGUUUGAUUUUGGCCUUAUUCAGCUCUUUGAGUACGGUUUUAGUACCAGCAAGUUGCAGAGAACUACUGCAUUGUUUGUUUAUCUAGCUAUCUAACAACUUGCAAGGCAAGUAUCACGGUCACGUUCAUAUUACCCACCUUGAUGCUGCAGACUCCCACUGUGGUUCCAGCAACAGCUUUUCCAGAACCUUCCAGCCAGUGGAGGGAGUAUGAGACCCCAGCUCAUCGCAGGUUAAACCCAAAGCCCACACUCUGGAACACCACAGCUGCAGGACACAGAAUACAUCUCACACAGCACAAGGAAACUUCUGGAGGCCAUCCCUAACAACAGCAGCAGCUUGGCAGCCAGAGGUGUGCAGCAGCAGUUUUCUUAGGGUUGCCAUAGCAACACCCACCGAUGGCAACCUGCAAACAGUGCAGUCCAGGUAAGAGGGGGAAAAAAUAUUGUUUGUCAUGUUUUCACAAUUUGAAGACAUAAUUGUCUAUCUUUAGUCUAUUUGACUAUUUCCUCCUCCCAAACAAAAACAUGCAUCUGUGCCAUACCCGAGGCAUUGUGCACUUUAAAAAGAACUGUAUGCUACUUAUUCUUCAUAAUGUUUAGCCAGUAAAUAUGACUUAUUUUAUACAUUGUAAUGUGUACAGUGCCUCCAGAAAGUUUGCACAUCCCUUGACUUUUUUAUUGAUCAAAUAGAGAUGUAUUGUCACUGGCGUACACACAAUAAAUACCACAUAAUGUCAAAGUGGAAUGAUGUUUUUUGAAUUUUUUAAAAAUUAAUUAAAACUGAAAAGCUGAAAUGUCUUGAGUCAAUAAGUAUUGAAGCCCUUUGUUCUGGCAAGCCUAAAAGUUGCCUGGACUCUGUGUGCAAUUAUAGUGUUUUAACAUGCUUUUUUUAAUGACCCCCUCAUCUCUGUACCCCACACAUGCAAUUAUCUGUAAGGUCUCUCAGU